rnacentral:rRNA from 1 species
UACGUAGGCAGCGAGCGUUUGUUCGGAGUUACUGGGCGUAAAGGGGUGUGUAGGCGGUUGUUUUAAGUUUGGUGUGAAAUCUCCCGGCUCAACUGGGAGGGUGCGCCGAAUACUGAAUGACUAGAGUGCGGGAGAGGAAAGUGGAAUUCCUGGUGUAGCGGUGAAAUGCGUUAGAUAUCAGGAGGAACACCGGUGGUGUAGACGGCUUUCUGGACCGUAACUGACGCUGAGACACGAAAGCGUGGGUAGCAAACAGG